CCCUUAGAUGUCCUGGGCCGCACGCGUGCUACACUGACACUUACACCGAGUUUUUCCAAUGCCGAAAGGCCAUUGGUAAUCAGCAAUAAGUGUCGUGAUGGGGAUAGAUCUUUGGAAUUAUUGAUCUUGAACGAGGAAUGCCUAGUAAUCGUAGGUCAUCAGCCUGCGAUGAUUACGUCCCUGCCCUUUGUACACACCGCCCGUCGCUCCUACCGAUUUCGAGUGGUUCGGUGAACCUCCGGAUUGGCGCGUGCCCUCGGGCGCCGCCGAGAAGUUGGUUAAACCUUACCAUUUAGAGGAAGGUGAAGUCGUAACA
rnacentral:rRNA from 1 species